rnacentral:rRNA from 1 species
CAGCCGUAAACUAUGCGCGUUAGGUGUAUCGGUGACCACGAGUUACCGAGGUGCCGAAGGGAAACCGUGAAACGUGCCGCCUGGGAAGUACGGUCGCAAGGCUGAAACUUAAGGAUUGGCGGGGGAGCACCACAACAGGUGGAGCCUGCGGUUUAAUUGGACUCAACGCCGGGAAGCUCACCGGAUAGGACAGCAGAAUGAUUGCCGGGCUGAAGACCCUGCAUGACUAGCUGAGAGGAGGUGCAUGGCGUAGACGUCU